rnacentral:rRNA from 1 species
GUGUCAGCAGCCGCGGUAAUACGGAGGUGGCAAGCGUUGUUCGGAAUUACUGGGCGUAAAGGGCGCGUAGGCGGCUUGGCAAGUCAGAUGUGAAAGCCCCAGGCUUAACUUGGGAACUGCAUCUGAAACUGCUUUGCUUGAGUCCUGGAGGGGGCAGUGGAAUUCCCAGUGUAGCGGUGAAAUGCGUAGAUAUUGGGAGGAACACCGGCGGCGAAGGCGGCUGCCUGGACAGUGACUGACGCUGAUGCGCGAAAGCUAGGGGAGCAAACGGGAUUAGAAACCCCCGUAGUCC